rnacentral:lncRNA from 1 species
GGACUUUCUCUUAAUGAGAGCAUUAGAAGGUUGUAUCGUCAUCCAUAUCCAUUUUGAGAUGGGAACUCAAACAGGAUACGAUAGACCAUGUUUGAUGAGUUUAAGGUAUACAAUUUAAUUAUUAAUUAUUUGCAGGCCAAAACUUUAGGGUGUGCGCUGACUCAUGAUGAGCUCUUUUGGGCUACACAUAUAGGAAAGAAGAAGAAUGUGAAUGAAUGGGUCGAGGCAAGGGCUUAAAAAGCUUAUGUAAGUUUGAAAAUUAGUACAAAUUGUAAUAAUAUGACUCUAUAUGUAUAUACUAACUUUUGUUUUCAUAUAUGUAGGUUGUUUAUCAACAAUGCUUGUCUGAGUACAAUGAGACUCAUCAAGUCCAGGGCGAGCCAUCCCAGCCUCCAUCGAAUAAUGUUGCUACUAAAAUAUGGACUGAGUAUGUAGCUGAAGGGAGACAAAAGGGGAGUCUACAUCAUAUGGGUACUUGUAACAAUGCGGUUGAA